UGGGGAAUAUUGGACAAUGGGCGCAAGCCUGAUCCAGCCAUGCCGCGUGAGUGAUGAAGGCCUUAGGGUUGUAAAGCUCUUUCAGUAGGGAAGAUAAUGACGGUACCUACAGAAGAAGCCCCGGCUAACUUCGUGCCAGCAGCCGCGGUAAUACGAAGGGGGCUAGCGUUGUUCGGAUUUACUGGGCGUAAAGCGCACGUAGGCGGGUCGUUAAGUCAGGGGUGAAAUCCUGGAGCUCAACUCCAGAACUGCCUUUGAUACUGGCGACCUAGAGUCCGGAAGAGGUGAGUGGAACUCCUAGUGUAGAGGUGGAAUUCGUAGAUAUUAGGAAGAACACCAGUGGCGAAGGCGGCUCACUGGUCCGGUACUGACGCUGAGGUGCGAAAGCGUAGGGAGCAAACAGG
rnacentral:rRNA from 1 species